CACAAAUACAAUAUGAAGGCUUCGGCUGGAUUAUUUAUUUCACCCUUGUCUUUUGCGCACUUGUUGUUUCCUGGGCGGGUUUUCGCCCGCCACCAGGACCACACCAUAAACCUUUUUUGUUAAUGCAGUCAGCGUCAGUACAACAAAUGUAAAUCAUUUA
rnacentral:misc_RNA from 1 species